AGCAGAGGCAAUGACUGUCUUGAAUUGGUGCUUGACUGUCCCGAAUUGGUGCUUGGAUGAAGUAAUGGACUGGAUGAGGGUGAAUAAGCUGAGACACAAUACAGACAAGACAGAAGUACUGUUGAUUGCCCUAGCCUACCAUGGUAUCACAGACUGUUAGACAAUGCCCACCUGGCUGUACCAUUUACCUAGAACAAAGACCUUUGAAAUAAUUACAACCUGUGAUUUAUUUACAUGUUCAGGGAGUGAAUCAGAGCUUCAAUGCUUUUACAAUUGGGUGACAAGCAGGAACACUCCGAUAAACAAAAAAUGUGGUCUGUAUUGAAGGUUGUAAACUCUUCUGGACAGAGACAUCUCCUUUUAUAUUUUUACAGCAC